rnacentral:rRNA from 1 species
GACUCGGUUGGGCGGUCCGCUUAACGGCGUGUACUGUCUGACUGGGCCUUACCUCUUGGUGAGCCAGUGUGCCCUUUAUUGGUGUGCAUUGGGGAACCAGGACUUUUACCUUGAGAAAAUUAGAGUGUUCAAAGCAGGCAUUUGCUCGAAUACAUUAGCAUGGAAUAAUAGAAUAGGACC